rnacentral:rRNA from 1 species
GAUGAACGCUAGCGACAGGCUUAACACAUGCAAGUCGAACGGGGAUAGGAUGAAACCUAGUGAUUCCUAUUCUAGUGGCGGACGGGUGAGUAACGCGUGGAUAACCUGCCUUGUACAGGGGGAUAACACCUGGAAACAGGUGCUAAGACCGCAUAAGCGCACAGUCUCGCAUGGGACAGUGUGAAAAACUCCGGUGGUACAAGAUGGAUCCGCGUCUGAUUAGCCAGUUGGCGGGGUAACGGCCCACCAAAGCGACGAUCAGUAGCCGGCCUGAGAGGGUGAACGGCCACAUUGGGACUGAGACACGGCCCAA